rnacentral:misc_RNA from 1 species
AACGCACCUUGCGCUCCUUGGUAUUCCGAGGAGCAUGCCUGUUUGAGUGUCAUUACAUUCUCAACUAUACAAGUUUUUACAACAUGUAUGGCUUGGAUCUUGGGAUCUGCGGGCUUUCACAAGUCGGCUAUCCUUAAAUGUAUUAGCAGAGCUUUUGUCGCUAACCUCUGGUGUGAUAAUUAUCUACGCCGUUGAGUUUCGACAUACUGAGGCUUAGCUUCUAAUCGUCCGCAAGGAUAUCAUUUGACAAUCUGACCUCAAAUCAGGUAGGACUACCCGCUGAACUUAA